CUAUGCCUGUGCCUGCAUGGUUCGAGCCAGAGUGCAAGUGAGAUACUGACCACUGAGACCAGGCUGUGGUAUGGACAUGAGCGAAUGUGACGCUGUACUUGCGGCUAAUCAGUUCAUCACAGAGUGUGUGCGACAGGGGCUGGUAUGAACCGAUUGCUCACAAAAUGUGGGAAGUUUGUGACAACACGAGGCUGAGUUUUGAGCAGGCCAUGUGUACGAAUGGUGGGCACGUGGACAAACGAUGAGCUGAUAUAUAGGUCAAGUCCU
rnacentral:lncRNA from 1 species